GUAUUGACACUUGUUGGUUUACUUUACAAAUACAAUAAAUGAAUUUGAAUUCUAAUAAAAGAAACAGUAGACUCAGUAGAGGUACGAGGUACUGAAAAAAUAUUAAUUAAUGGAGAAGCCGAAGUUGGAGGAAAACAAGAAGAUUCGAGGAGAAUGGUGUGGCACUUAAUGCCGCCGGGACAGUAACCUGCAGCUCCAACUCUAGGGAAUUGGGCUGAAUGAACGCAACACGUGAUCGACAGCCCACCUGCUUCCUGCCGAGCGUCCCUACACUACCUCUACAUGGAUGCCUCGCUUAUUCUGCUCUACAAAACUUCUGAGCUGAUACAAGCAGCCAGAAUGAGUCCCUGCUGAGUCGCCGGCGCCGGACGUGCGUCGCGCGCCUCGGGCGACUGACGUCUUCGUGUGAGUCGCCAAUUGCAGGGGAAGAUACGAAUAGUUAGGUAUAAAAGCUACUUUAGGCAACCUCGCCUCAGUACUGUUUGUAUUGACUGAAAUACAAGUAGCAUAUAUAAGACGUUCGGACGUAUCCGUGAAAAUACGAAGGUAAAGGAAAUUGCACUACAUUUUUAGAACCUAUUCACCUGUCAGUAAAAUAUUGAAAAGGAAAGUUCAUGAGUUUUAUAAUUUUCUUUCCUCCAACAGCUUCACAUGGAGCAAA